rnacentral:rRNA from 1 species
AGUCGAGCGAACGGACGAGAAGCUUGCUUCUCUGAUGUUAGCGGCGGACGGGUGAGUAACACGUGGAUAACCUACCUAUAAGACUGGGAUAACUUCGGGAAACCGGAGCUAAUACCGGAUAAUAUUUUGAACCGCAUGGUUCAAAAGUGAAAGACGGUCUUGCUGUCACUUAUAGAUGGAUCCGCGCUGCAUAAGCUAGUUGGUAAGGUAACGGCUUACCAAGGCAACGAUGCAUAGGCCGACCUGAGAGGGUGAUCGGCCACACUGGAACUGAGACACGGUCCAGACUCUUACGGGAGGCUGCAGUAGGGAAUCUUCCGCAAUGGGCGAAAGCCUGACGGAGCAACGCCGCGUGAGUGAUGAAGGUCUUCGGAUCGUACAACUCUGUUAUUAGGGAAGAACAUAUGUGUAAGUAACUGUGCACAUCUUGACGGUACCUAAUCAGAAAGCCACGGCUAACUACGUGCCAGCAGCCGCGGUAAUACGUAGGUGGCAAGCGUUAUCCGGAAUUAUUGGGCGUAAAGCGCGCGUAGGCGGUUUUUUAAGUCUGAUGCGAAAGCCCACGGCUCAACCGUGGAGGGUCAUUGGAAACUGGAAAACUUGAGUGCAGAAGAGGAAAGUGGAAUUCCAUGUGUAGCGGUGAAAUGCGCAGAGAUAUGGAGGAACACCAGUGGCGAAGGCGACUUUCUGGUCUGUAACUGACGCUGAUGUGCGAAAG